CAAAGUUGUGGAUGUCUGCAUCAACAAUGCUGGCUUGGCUCACCCAAUUGCUCUAAAUGGCAAAACCAGCGGCUGGAAGAACAUGAUGGAUUGAUGAACCUGAAAAAGCAGCUGCUGUACAUGCUGCAUAUAUGCCUCUGAAAGCAAGUGAUAUUUGCUGCCACGUGUGUGCUCAGUGCCCCUCCUUAUGUCCAGACUCCUUUGUGCAACCCACUUCCUCCUUAUCUUCACCUCUCCCAUGUUUCUCAAGCUCCAUUCAGGUCUCCACCUUUAUCUCCCCCACCAGCAUCUAAACUCUGGGAGAUCCUGGCCUAAUCCCUAGCAGCACCGGGAUGCUGUUCUGCUCUUCUUCUGUG